rnacentral:rRNA from 1 species
UACGUAGGCAGCAAGCGUUGUUCGGAAUUACUGGGCGUAAAGAGUGUUUAGGCGGUGCUCUAAGUUCGGUGUGAAAUCUCCCGGCUUAACUGGGAGGGUGCGCCGGAAACUGGAGUGCUUGAGCGCGGGAGAGGAAAGCGGAAUUCCUGGUGUAGCGGUGAAAUGCGUAGAUAUCGGGAGGAACACCAGAGGCGAAGGCGGCCACCUGGACAGACACUGACGCUGAGACGCGAAAGCGUGGGGAGCAAACAGG